CGCUAACACUCCUACGGGAGGCAGCAGUGGGGAAUAUUGCACAAUGGGGGAAACCCUGAUGCAGCCAUGCCGCGUGUGUGAGAAGGCCUUCGGGUUGUAAAGCACUUUCAGUAGGGAGGAAGGUAGUGUAGUUAACACCUGCAUUAUUUGACGUUACCUACAGAAGAAGCACCGGCUAACUCCGUGCCAGCAGCCGCGGUAAUACGGAGGGUGCGAGCGUUAAUCGGAAUUACUGGGCGUAAAGCGCAUGCAGGCGGCCUGUUAAGUCAGAUGUGAAAGCCCGGGGCUUAACCUCGGAAUUGCAUUUGAAACUGGCAGGCUAGAGUCUUGUAGAGGGGGUAGAAUUUCAGGUGUAGCGGUGAAAUGCGUAGAGAUCUGAAGGAAUACCAGUGGCGAAGGCGGCCCCCUGGACAAAGACUGACGCUCAGAUGCGAAAGCGUGGGGAGCAAACAGGAUUAGAUACCCUGGUAG
rnacentral:rRNA from 1 species